rnacentral:rRNA from 1 species
AGCCCAGAGCCUGAAUCAGUGUGUGUGUUAGUGGAAGCGUCUGGAAAGGCGCGCGAUACAGGGUGACAGCCCCGUACACAAAAAUGCACAUACUGUGAGCUCGAUGAGUAGGGCGGGACACGUGGUAUCCUGUCUGAAUAUGGGGGGACCAUCCUCCAAGGCUAAAUACUCCUGACUGACCGAUAGUGAACCAGUACCGUGAGGGAAAGGCGAAAAGAACCCCGGCGAGGGGAGUGAAAAAGAACCUGAAACCGUGUACGUACAAGCAGUGGGAGCCUCUUAAUGGGGUGACUGCGUACCUUUUGUAUAAUGGGUCAGCGACUUAUAUUCUGUAGCAAGGUUAACCGAAUAGGGGAGCCGAAGGGAAACCGAGUCUUAACUGGGCGUUAAGUUGCAGGGUAUAGACCCGAAACCCGGUGAUCUAGCCAUGGGCAGGUUGAAGGUUGGGUAACACUAACUGGAGGACCGAACCGACUAAUGUUGAAAAAUUAGCGGAUGACUUGUGGCUGGGGGUGAAAGGCCAAUCAAACCGGGAGAUAGCUGGUUCUCCCCGAAAGCUAUUUAGGUAGCGCCUCGUGAAUUCAUCUCCGGGGGUAGAGCACUGUUUCGGCAAGGGGGUCAUCCCGACUUACCAACCCGAUGCAAACUGCGAAUACCGGAGAAUGUUAUCACGGGAGACACACGGCGGGUGCUAACGUCCGUCGUGAAGAGGGAAACAACCCAGACCGCCAGCUAAGGUCCCAAAGUCAUGGUUAAGUGGGAAACGAUGUGGGAAGGCCCAGACAGCCAGGAUGUUGGCUUAGAAGCAGCCAUCAUUUAAAGAAAGCGUAAUAGCUCACUGGUCGAGUCGGCCUGCGCGGAAGAUGUAACGGGGCUAAACCAUGCACCGAAGCUGCGGCAGCGACACUAUGUGUUGUUGGGUAGGGGAGCGUUCUGUAAGCCUGUGAAGGUGUACUGUGAGGUAUGCUGGAGGUAUCAGAAGUGCGAAUGCUGACAUAAGUAACGAUAAAGCGGGUGAAAAGCCCGCUCGCCGGAAGACCAAGGGUUCCUGUCCAACGUUAAUCGGGGCAGGGUGAGUCGACCCCUAAGGCGAGGCCGAAAGGCGUAGUCGAUGGGAAACAGGUUAAUAUUCCUGUACUUGGUGUUACUGCGAAGGGGGGACGGAGAAGGCUAUGUUGGCCGGGCGACGGUUGUCCCGGUUUAAGCGUGUAGGCUGGUUUUCCAGGCAAAUCCGGAAAAUCAAGGCUGAGGCGUGAUGACGAGGCACUACGGUGCUGAAGCAACAAAUGCCCUGCUUCCAGGAAAAGCCUCUAAGCAUCAGGUAACAUCAAAUCGUACCCCAAACCGACACAGGUGGUCAGGUAGAGAAUACCAAGGCGCUUGAGAGAACUCGGGUGAAGGAACUAGGCAAAAUGGUGCCGUAACUUCGGGAGAAGGCACGCUGAUAUGUAGGUGAAGUCCCUCGCGGAUGGAGCUGAAAUCAGUCGAAGAUACCAGCUGGCUGCAACUGUUUAUUAAAAACACAGCACUGUGCAAACACGAAAGUGGACGUAUACGGUGUGACGCCUGCCCGGUGCCGGAAGGUUAAUUGAUGGGGUUAGCGGUAACGCGAAGCUCUUGAUCGAAGCCCCGGUAAACGGCGGCCGUAACUAUAACGGUCCUAAGGUAGCGAAAUUCCUUGUCGGGUAAGUUCCGACCUGCACGAAUGGCGUAAUGAUGGCCAGGCUGUCUCCACCCGAGACUCAGUGAAAUUGAACUCGCUGUGAAGAUGCAGUGUACCCGCGGCAAGACGGAAAGACCCCGUGAACCUUUACUAUAGCUUGACACUGAACAUUGAGCCUUGAUGUGUAGGAUAGGUGGGAGGCUUUGAAGUGUGGACGCCAGUCUGCAUGGAGCCGGCCUUGAAAUACCACCCUUUAAUGUUUGAUGUUCUAACGUUGGCCCCUGACCGGGGUUGCGGACAGUGUCUGGUGGGUAGUUUGACUGGGGCGGUCUCCUCCUAAAGAGUAACGGAGGAGCACGAAGG